CUAGAAUCUGCUGGUCAUCAGUCAGCUGAGGCCCAGAUAUCCCAGGCCUUUGAGGGACAGAAGCCAAGGACGUGAAGGAAGGCAGCACUCUGAUGAGCUGGGGAGAGGCCAAAAGGACAAAGUGGGGUAGUGAGUUUUGGAGAGGUGGCCAGAGUGUCAGUCCUUCCGAAGGUUUUGCAAUAGCCCUAGGAAGUGAACAGAACUAAGAUGAUUAUCUCUGUUGAACAGAUGAGACACCAAAGGCCAGAAAAGGUGAGAACCUGCCAAAAGACACGGAGCAAACAUCAAGGCGGACCUGAGAAGAGAACUCGUCAAUACUGGAUUCUUGGGCUCUGAGGACAUGAUCCCUGCUCUGGACGUUGGAGAAUCUCUGAAGAAUUUUUGGCAGGCAUAAUCAGGUCUCUGCUUUACAAAUGUGGAUGAGCGCUUUUAGGAGCCCUCUGCAGGCAAAGGAUCUUCCCAACCCAGGGAGAACCCUGUCCUCCCGUGUUGCAGGCAGAUUCUCCCCAUCUGAGCCACCAGGGAAGCCCAAGAAUGGAUGGGUAUCACCAAGCAAAGCUGUGGUUGUAUCAGAG
ensembl:lncRNA